GGACAAGACUGACGCUCAGGUGCGAAAGCGUGGGGAGCAAACAGGAUUAGAUACCUGGUAGUCACGCUGUAAACGAUGUCGAUUUGGAGGUGUUCCCUGAGGAGUGGCUUCCGGAGCUAACGCGUUAAAUCGACCGCUGGGGAGUACGGCCGCAAGGUUAAAACUCAAAUGAAUUGACGGGGGCCCGCACAAGCGGUGGAGCAUGUGGUUUAAUUCGAUGCAACGCGAAGAACCUUACCUACUCUUGACAUCCAGAGAAUUUAGCAGAGAUGCUUUAGUGCCUUCGGGAACUCUGAGACAGGUGCUGCAUGGCUGUCGUCAGCUCGUGUUGUGAAAUGUUGGGUUAAGUCCCGCAACGAGCGCAACCCUUAUCCUUUGUUGCCAGCACGUUAUGGUGGGAACUCAAAGGAGACUGCCGGUGAUAAACCGGAGGAAGGUGGGGAUGACGUCAAGUCAUCAUGGCCCUUACGAGUAGGGCUACACACGUGCUACAAUGGCGUAUACAAAGAGAAGCGACCUCGCGAGAGCAAGCGGAACUCAUAAAGUACGUCGUAGUCCGGAUUGGAGUCUGCAACUCGACUCCAUGAAGUCGGAAUCGCUAGUAAUCGUAGAUCAGAAUGCUACGGUGAAUACGUUCCCGGGCCUUGUACACACCGCCCGUCACACCAUGGGAGUGGGUUGCAAAAGAAGUAGGUAGCUUAACCUUCGGGAGGGCGCUUACCACUUUGUGAUUCAUGACUGGGGUGAAGUCGUAACAAGGUAACCA
rnacentral:rRNA from 1 species